CGGAUCAAAGGUCCAAGUCUGUUUUCCUGGUUAGAUCCACCUUCACACUUCAGAGGGAUUUCUGUUUGGGACUGAGUGUAAAUCUGAUUCAGGCUUUACGGUGUGUGAAGGGAGCGGCCUCAUCUUUGGCAUCAUGGUGGAGCUGGCUUUCUACCCAGCGGUUGCUCUGAUAUAUUUUUUCGGAGUGAUGAAAGCAACGCAGGAUGAUCGGGUGGAGCUGGACGACCGAGCGUCGAUGAACGUGUUCUGUCUGUUCGUGCUGGUGCAGCCGCUGUGUCUGGUGCUGGGAGGAUACACGGGCAUGGCCACGUACCUUCUCACAGCUCUGGUCUCCUACAACUUUCUGCCUUGGAGGAAGAAGAAAGAACUCGCAAAGGGAAAAGAAUCAAAGAAGAAGACAAAGUGAGAACAAAGAACACGCACUGUGUGGAGAUUAAGAGAAACUGACUUCUGUGUAGGAGGACAUUUUUUAUAUAAUAAAGCAUGUAAAUCUUUCGGUGUGAAUAAGUGAAUGUGUUGCUAAACCAUACAGCAGUCAUUUAACCUGCUUCCAUAAAUCAUCUGCAGUUGUAUGCAUCUGUGCUUUAUAAAGGUACAUUUAGUUCUCUGCAAAGACAGUGAGUCUUUUUAUGAUUCCUAAUGCAGCAAAUAGAUCGGAAGCUUUCAUUUAAAGCAAUUAGCCAUCAUAGCUGAACUGACUAACAGAACAUAGGAUAAAGGCCUCUACGAAGAUGUCAGCUACAAAUAAUAAUAAUCCAUAAAGGCCAAUGCUAUCUCAAAACCAGACCUAUAGAGUUGGAUUCAACAUUAUUUUGGGAUUCAAUGUUAUUUUUCAAAUAAUUUUCCUAAUCCAAAAUGUGAAUCCAUAAUUUUAAGUGAGAAAAUUGAUGGAUGAUCAAUGGACAUUUUUUCCUUUUUAUUACUAAAUGGUAAACUGUCUAUAUUUACCUUCUGUUUAUUGGGCGACUCACUCUAUACACGGAAUUGUGAAUACAUUCUGGGUCUUCAUAUGAAAGCAUAUUGCUCUGGAGCGUGUGAAGUUAUUCAGUGAAGAAUGAGAAAGAAGUAACUGCCUCUUCCCACCCUUGACUUUACAUUGAACAACUGCAUGUGUUGCCCUCUGAGUUUCAGUUGACUCUACAUAUGAUUACAACUCUGUGGAUACCUCACUGAACCCCACUGUGACCUAUCUCUGAAUGAUUAAAACAUUAAACACACACAGCCACACACAGAAUUUUCAAUUAUCCAGCCAUGUUCUCGAAGGACCGUGUGUCCCUCUGAUGUGGCUAAGCCUGGUAGCGUGGAGUGUGUGUGAUGUCUAAAACCGGAUUCAAAGAGAGCGAGUACAAUGGGAUUAGACCGUGCCAUUUGGUUGAUAGUCCAUGGCUUUGUUCAGCCGUCUUGCUGAUGCUCAUUGUGUACAUCUGAGAAACGGGGGGGUAUUUUUUGAUGAUGUUUACUUUCUCAGCAUUAAAAUCGUCUCUGAGCUUGAAUUAAAUCAUUUUCUGGGCUGUGAACGUGUCUCCGUCUCUCACAGGGCCUUUUCUUUAUCUCUCUUCCUCUAAGUGUGAAUUUAUGUAAGGGAUAACCUCGAGUGUCAUAAAGGUUGUAUUUCCACUGUUCCACUUUUUCCACCACAUCUUCUUUCAAGACGGAUUAGUUUGGCUCUCUACAUGUCUGCACCAUAUCCUGCAUAAACAUGUAUGCAUUGUAUGUUACAUAAGUGUAGUAGCUGUUUUCUGUAUCCUCUAUUAUUUAAACAUCUGGACAUCUGAA